CGAGUGGAAAAAGGGGAUGGAUUUGAGUCUUAGGUCGCAGGUUCAAGCCCACACCAUGCAAAGGGAAGCCCGAUAUUUAAGUGGAGAAGGGUAGAGGGGCGGGUCCAUUAUCCACUGAGUUUAGAAGGCUAUGAUUGGUCCAAAGGGUGGGCCACAGGCGGAUUUCUCGGUUAUCAUAACAAAAAAGAAAGAUCUCGCAGAGACUUUCGCGAACUCCAGAAGUUUUGAUGAUAGGUGAUAGCUCGCCAAUAGGGAUGGUACUGUUUUCUUGAAUGACGGGCUCUUGAAGAUGAAGUGCAUUCUCCAAAUUCCAUAGCACCUCACCCAUAGAUGGCCUGUGCACCAGAUUCAGCUAAGUAUUUCACUGCGUUUCUCCAAAGUUGCUGAAGGAAUCUGGUCUUACUUCGCCCAGAAUGUCGGGAUAUAUGAUAUGUUCCAGUUGUCUUUUCUCCUGCAAAUGCAUUGCCCAGUCAGCUAAGUUGACCUGCUCCCUCGGAAGAGAUCGAUCUCGGGCAGGCCUAGCACUUUAACUUCGCAUAAAAUGGUUACCAUUGGAGGAAGAAGGAUGCUGAUGAAACUGUUAAAGAACUAUUAAAGACACUCACCAAAAGGUGAAGAUGUUUUUGAAAGUCUUGGAGCACCUUUGAAUGUUGUUAAACCCACAAAAGAUUCAAGUGUGGCUAUUUUUUGACUAGGAGUUGUUGGCCUUAUUGCUGCAGACGGAGCAAAAAUUGCUAGUGCUUCAAGGAUAAUUUGUGUCGAUUUAAAUGCUAGCUGAUUUCAGUAAGCUAAGAAAUUUUGUGUGACAAAGUUUGUGAACCCGAAGGAUUAAAGUAAACUAGGUCAAGAGGUAAUUGCUGAGAUGACUGAUUGCAAAUUCGAUCUGAGUGUGAAGUGUACUGGCCAUAUUGAUGCUAUGAUUUCAGCAUUUGAAUUGUCCAUGAUGUGUGGUAGUGGCUGUCCUUAUUGGUAUGUACCCCAUAAGGAAGCUGUGUUCAAGACACACUUUUGAACUUUUUAAUGAAAGUACUAUCACAGUAACCUUCUUUGGAAACUGGACACCUCGUUCGGAUAUUCCUUCUUUUGUUGAGAAAUACAUGAAUAAGGAACUUGAAUUGGAGAAAUUCAUCACUCAUACACUUCCCAUACUAUGAAAUCGACAAGGCUUUUUUAAUUAAUGUUGAAGGGAGAAGGCCUUCGUUGCAUCAUCACCAUGGAGUGCUAACUAUCCUAGAAAAGGAGCUUCUAGCUAGUCGCUUUUGUUUGAGAAAAGACCAAGAAUUGGGUGGAACACUAUGAGAAGGAUCCGAAAGCUCCAAUGGCUAGACUAUUGAACAUGAUGUUUGAGGUAAUUUGAUUUUUAAAUGUUUUGUCUUUCUGAUGAACGAGGCAUCUUUUAAUCAUGGUGAAAGGGAAGCUCUGAGAUCUUGUAUAAAAGCUUUGAAUUUCUGGGCUACUGAGAUUUGGUGGGAGUUACAAGACUUCACCCUCAACAUAUUGAAAAGGAUUAUAGAUGAGCUCAUUAUCAACGUAUCAUUGUUCCAGUAAUGGGCAUUAGGGCAGUAUGGAGAACUGUAGUAUUUAAGAUGGAGACUUUCAUCAAAUGCUCCCUCAGAUGUCUGCCUAGUCUUCCUUCAGGAUUUUAAAUCUUCCGUUCUUCUGGUUAAAGAGGCAUUUAUUUAGAAUGGUUGUGUUCUUUUUUCAGAACAUUGGCUAAUCAGGAAAGCAACCCUUGUAUCAUCCACAGAGCUAGAAGCUUUGGGGUACUCAUCAGAUAUAUGCAACGGAAGCAGCUUCCAGACUUGGUAAACUGAUGAUAGAUGCCCUUAUUUUCAUGCAUAUGGAAUUGAGAAGAUCCUAUGGACCUGAAGAGUGGUUGCCCUCAUUGGAUCUGAUGGGAUAAGCUUGAACUAGGCAGUGAAAGGACAUAGCUUGGUGGAUGGCUGUCAUACGGGAUGGUGAUGUUUGAAUAUUCACUGCUUGUAAACUUGAAAAUGUUGGAUGAUCUUCAAUUAUCGAGGCAAAUUUCCAUCGAAAGCUUGCAUAAUAAUCUUGCACAGACUGCCUCCAAGGCUUAGCUCGAGUGGAAGAAGGUGGUGUCGCAGGUUUGAGCCCCACACCAUGCAAAGUGAAGCCCGGAAUUUAAGUGGAGAGGGGUAGAGGGCGGCGGGCCUAUUAUCCACUGAGUUUAGAAGGCUAUGAUAGGUCCAAAGAGCGGGUCGCAGGCGGAUUUCUCGGUGAUCAAAACAAAAAAGAAAGAUCUUGUAGAGACUUUCGCGAACUCCAGAAGUUUUGAAGAUAGGCUCGCCAAUAGAGAUGGUAGUAUUUUCUUGAAUGACGGGCUCUUGAAGAUGAAGUGCAUUCUCCAAAUUCCAUAGCACCUCACCCAUAGAUGGCCUGUGCACCAGAUUCAGCUUAGUAUUUCACUGCAUUUCUCCAAAGUUGCUGAAGGAAUCUGGUCUUACUUCGCCCAAAAUGUCGGGAUAUAUGAUAUGUUCCAGUUGUAUUUUCUCCUGCAAAUUCAUUGCCCAGUCAGCGAAGUUGACCUGCUCCCUCGGAAGAGAUUGAUCUCGGGCAGGCCUAGCACUUUAACUUCGCAUAAAAUGGUUACCAUUGGAGGAAGAAGGAUGCUGAUGAAACUGUUAAAGAACUAUUAAAGACACUCACCAAAAGGUGAAGCUCUGUGGUGAAAAAUUGCUAGUGCUUCAAGGAUAAUUUGUGUCGAUUUAAAUUCUAGCUGAUUUCAGUAAGCUAAGAAAUUUUGCGUGAAAAAGUUUGUGAACCAAAAGGAUUAAAGUAAACCAGGUCAAGAGGUAAUUGCUGAGAUGACUGAUUGCAAAUUCGAUCCGAGUGUGAAGGGGGUAAGGUUGGGGGGUUUUGAAGGGUAAGGGGGUAAGGGUGGGGAGGUGUGGGUUCGGAAGGUGUCG